rnacentral:rRNA from 1 species
AUGCCGACGGGAACCAUGAGGAGGAUGUUCGUCGAGUCGUCCUCGUCCUCCUCCGGGAGCGGCAGGGAGGCGGAGCCGGCGGUGGUGCUGUGCGCGCCCCGGCCCCGCAGGGUCCACGCCCAGCCCUGCAGCGCCGACCUCAUCCUCGGCCCCCCGCCCUUCCUGCUCAACGCCUCCUCCGGCAGCAUAAAGCAGAGACAAGGGAAGAGCAAAACGCGGGAGGAGGAGGGGGAGGGGGGCUGGGCGCUGUUCGGCGGCUCGCCGCCGGCGCGCGCGGACAACCCGCUCGUCCACGACCCCCACUUCCUGCUCAACCAGCGCCACCACGCCGCCGCGGAAUUCAACCUCGCGGCGGUUUUUGACCACCACCUCCACCACCACAGCCGCAACCACCACCACGCCCCAACCACAUAUAGCAAUAGCGGCAAUAGCCACAGUUUUGCCCCGUCGUACACGCACGCCGCGCCGGCGGUGAGGAUCCAGGGGUUCGACGUCGCCGCCUGCCGGGGCUCCCACGCCAGCAACGGCGGAGGCCGCGUGCUCUCCGCCCGCGCAUGA